CGUAGGUGGCGAGCGUUGUCCGGAUUUAUUGGGUUUAAAGGGUGCGUAGGCGGUCUUAUAAGUCAGUGCUGAAAUAUCCCGGCUUAACCGGGAGGGUGGCAUCGAUACUGUAGGACUUGAGUAAAGUUGAGGUUGGCGGAAUUGACGGUGUAGCGGUGAAAUGCUUAGAUAUCGUCAAGAACACCGAUAGUGUAGACAGCUAACUAAGCUUUAACUGACGCUGAGACACGAAAGUGUGGGGAUCAAACAGGAUUAGAUACCCUGGUAGUCCACACUGUAAACGUUGAAGACUCGCUGUUGGCGAUACACAGUCAGCGGCUGAGAGAAAUCGUUAAGUCUUCCACCUGGGGAGUACGCCGGCAACGGUG
rnacentral:rRNA from 1 species